rnacentral:lncRNA from 1 species
AAGCUAUUCAAAAUUUAUUUCCUAUAAAACUGAAGUAGAAAAUCAGCUAGACAAAACUAUUAAAGUUUUAAGAUCUGAUAGGGGAGGAGAAUAUACAGGAGAUUUUGAUAAAUUUUGUGUUGAGAAUGGUAUUAUUCAUGAGACUACUCCACCUUAUUCUCCACAAUCUAAUGGUGUAGCUGAAAGGAAAAAUCGAACCCUUAAGGAUAUGGUCAUAUCAAUGCUAAGCUCUUCUGGAUUACCUUUUAACAUGUGGGGCGAAGCACUUCUUACUGCAUGUUAUAUUCUUAACAGAAUUCCUAGUAAGAAAAAUAAUAAGUCUCCUUAUGAAAUGUGGAAGGGCAGAACACCUUCAUAUAAAUAUCUUAAAGUGUGGGGGUGUUUAGCUAAAGCUUCUAUUCCAGCACCUAAGAGAACUAAACUUGGUCCGAAAACUGUUGAUUGUGUUUUUAUAGGCUAUGCGUUUCAUAGCAAUGCCUACAGAUUUUUAGUCAUUGACUCUAAAAAUAAUUUGAUUGAAAAGAACACAAUAUUUGAAACUAGAGAUGCUGAAUUUUUUGAAAAUAGAUUUCCGUUUAAAGAAAAGUCUGAAGGAUCAAGCAGUUCUUUUAGUAUUCCUCCUAGUGUUAGAGAGGAGUCAUCUGAAUUAGAAGAAGUUGAAAUUAGGAGAAGCAAAAGACCUAGGACCACUACUUCUUUCGGUCCUGACUUUAUAACCUACUUAGUAGAGGAUGAUCCUAGUACUUUUGGUGAAGCUAUAUUUUCACCAGAUUCUAUAUUUUGGAAGGAAGCUGUAAAUAGUGAAUAUGAUUCAAUAAUGUCUAAUAAUACUUGGGAGUUAGUGGACUUACCUCAAGGAUGUAAGACAAUUGGGUGUAGAUGGUUGUUUAAGAAAAAACUUAAACCUGAUGGUUCAAUUGAUAAGUAUAAAGCAAGACUUGUAGCUAAAGGCUAUAAACAAAAGGAAGGAGUUGACUUCUUUGAUACUUAUUCACCCGUUACUAGGAUUACCUCUAUUAGGAUGUUAAUUGCAAUUGCCUCACUGUAUGAUCUUAUUAUACAUCAAAUGGAUGUCAAAACUGCAUUUUUAAAUGGAGACUUAGAAGAGGAGAUUUAUAUGGAUCAACCUGAAGGAUUUGUUGUAGAAGGCCUUGAAGAUAAAGUAUGUAGACUUAAAAAAUCCCUUUAUGGCCUUAAACAAGCUCCUAAGCAAUGGCACGAAAAAUUUGAUACAGUUUUGACAUCAAGUGGUUAUGUGAUAAAUGAAGCAGAUAAAUGCAUAUAUAGCAAAUUUGAAAAUAAUUGUGGUGUGAUAAUUUGCUUAUAUGUUGAUGAUAUGCUGAUUAUGGGAACUAGUUUAGAUGUGAUUGAUAAAACUAAGCAGUUUCUGAACAAGCACUUUGAAAUGAAAGAUUUGGGUGUUGCUGAUGUUAUUCUAGGAAUCAAAAUAGUAAAACAUUCUGAAGGAAUUAUUUUGACCCAAUCACAUUAUGUAGAAAAAGUGCUUAACAAGUUUAAUCAAUACAACUGUAUUCCUGCUAAAACACCAUAUGAUGCAAGCCGUCAUUUGAGAAAACAUUCAGGUCCUAGUGUUUCCGCUUUAGAGUAUGCUAAAGUAAUCGGCAGUCUCAUGUAUCUCAUGAACUGUACAAGACCUGAUAUAGCAUAUGCUGUCGGUAGACUUAGCAGGUAUACUAGUAAUCCUAAC